CGAUCUACGGAUGGAAANCGGGGGAUCGCAAGACCUCGCGCGAUUGGAGCGGCCGAUAUCAGAUUAGGUAGUUGGUGAGGUAAAGGCUCACCAAGCCGACGAUCUGUAGCUGGUCUGAGAGGACGACCAGCCACACUGGGACUGAGACACGGCCCAGACUCCUACGGGAGGCAGCAGUGGGGAAUUUUGGACAAUGGGCGCAAGCCUGAUCCAGCAAUGCCGCGUGCAGGAUGAAGGCCUUCGGGUUGUAAACUGCUUUUGUACGGAACGAAACGGUGAGCUCUAAUACAGUUUGCUAAUGACGGUACCGUAAGAAUAAGCACCGGCUAACUACGUG
rnacentral:rRNA from 1 species